ACCAUUGGCCCGCUGCCGCCCGCGACCUGGCGCCGCAAGCCUGCCUCCUCCGCCUCGGCGAGCCGCCCCUUCCCUGCAUCCCUCGGCCGCAGCCGCGUCCCGGUCCAUUGUCGUCUCCGGCUUGGAUUCUCGCUACAGCUUACCGGAGGCGCCGGGAGGGUGGUGAUCAAUGCUGUGGAGAAGAUAAAGCAGGAAGAGGACUGAGAAGGAUGAGGGAGAAUUGCUAGAGUAUAUGCCCUUUGGGGAGACUUCUCCAAUAACGUGGCAUUUGAGCAGACACGAAGAAAGUGAGGAGUGAUCUCUGAUAAAGGUCUAGUACCCAGAAUAGGGGAAGAAUGCUUAUAAUUCAACAACAAAACAACCAGAUUUUUAAAAUGGGCAGAGAACUUGAACAUUUUUCCAAAGAAGAUACACACAUGGCCAACCACCACAAGAAAAAUGCUCAACAGCUUACACCUUACCUCCGAUAUCAUCAGUUAGAGAAACACAUAUCAAAACCGCUUCACGCCCAUUAGGACAGCUGUAAAAAAUAAAAGGGAAAAUAAGUAAUGGUGACGAUGUGGAGAGAUUGGGACCCUUGGGCAUUGCCAGUGGGAAUGCAAAAUGGCUUGGUCAAUGAGAAGAACAGUUUGGCAGUUUCUCAAAAAGUUAAAUAUACAAUUGCAAUAUGACCCAGGAAUUCCAAUCCUAAAAUUGAAAACAGGUACUCAAACAAGUACUCACUUGUACGUCCGUGCAUGUUCCUAGCAGGACUCUUCACUGCAGCCAGAAGGUAGAAGGAGCCCAAUGUCCUGCAACAGAUGAACGGAUAAGCAAAGUGGUACGCCAUACAAUGGAAUAUUAUUCAGCCUUGAAAAGGAAUAAAGUACUGAUAGAUGCUACAACAUGGAUGAACCUCCAAAACAUUAUGCUGAGUGAAAGAAGCCAGAUGCCAAAGGUCACAGAUUGUAUGAAUCCAUGUAUAUGAAAUAUCCAGGAUGGAUAAAUCCAUGGAGACAGAAUGCAGAUGGUGGUGACCAGGGGCUGGAGGCUUUACUUUGGAGUGAUGACAGUGCUUUGGAACUAGAUGGAGGUUGUGGUGGCACGACACUGUGAAUGUACUAAGUGCCACAGAAUUGUUCACUUUCAAAUGGUUGGCUUAUGUGAUGGGAAUCUCAGCUCAAUUAAUUAUCAGAAAAAAAAAAAAAAACCCAGAAAGUGAAGCAUAGGGGGAUGAUCCCCAAGAUAAACAGCUAAGGAAAAACAAGAAAGGGGAAAACAGUGGUGCAUGUUGCUGUGUAUCUCUCAACACAGAAUAUCCCCUAUUUGCCUUUCUGUGCCUGAUGACAUUUGUAAAACGUGCGUGUAUUACUUAUGCAAGAAAUUCAAAGUAAAUUAAGGAAUUAUUUUUAAACACAGCGCUGACUUCAGAGUCAGAGCUGGGUUGGAAUUCCAAGGCUGAUAGGCAUCGAGUGAUGAUCAUGUCCCUCUCAGCUUCCCGUCUACUUCUGUAAUGUGGUGCACAAUUGUGCACAAUUGUCAAGUACACGAAUGAGACUGUGCAUGCAAAGGGCACAGUGCUUGGGAUACUGUGAGUGCUGAAUAAAUGGUGUGAGUCGUUUGUACCACAACCUUCCAACAACAAA